rnacentral:rRNA from 1 species
CCUACGGGAGACAGCAGUGGGGGAUAUUGCACAAUGGGGGAAACCCUGAUGCAGCGAAGCCGCGUGUGGGAAGACGGUCUUCUGGAUUGUAAACUUCUAUCAAUAGGGAAGAAAGAAAUGACGGUACCUAAAUAAGAAGCCCCGGCUAACUACGUGCCAGCAGCCGCGUUAGUACGUAGGGGGCAAGCGUUAUCCGGAAUUACUGGGUGUAAAGGGAGAGUAGGCGGCAAGGUAAGCGAUAUGUGAAAGCCUUAAGCUUAACUAAAGGAUUGCAUAACGAACUAUCUAGCUAGAGUACAGGAGAGGAAAGCGGAAUUCCUAGUGUAGCGGUGAAAUGCGUAGAUAUUAGGAAGAACACCAGUGGCGAAGGCGGCUUUCUGGACUGAAACUGACGCUGAGGCUCGAAAGCGUGGGGAGCGAACAGGAUUAGAUACCCUUGUAGUC